UACGUAGGGGGCAAGCGUUGUCCGGAUUUAUUGGGCGUAAAGAGCGUGUAGGCGGCCUGACAGGUCUGCUGUGAAAACUCGAGGCUCAACCUCGAGAUGUCGGCGGAAACCGUCUGGCUAGAGUCCGGAAGAGGAGAGUGGAAUUCCUGGUGUAGCGGUGAAAUGCGCAGAUAUCAGGAGGAACACCGGUGGCGAAGGCGGAUCUCUGGGCCGAUACUGACGCUGAGGAGCGAAAGCGUGGGGAGCGAACAGG
rnacentral:rRNA from 1 species